rnacentral:rRNA from 1 species
GACGAACGCUGGCGGCGUGCCUAAUACAUGCAAGUUGAGCGAUGAAGAUUGGUGCUUGCACCAAUUUGAAGAGCAGCGAACGGGUGAGUAACGCGUGGGGAAUCUGCCUUUGAGCGGGGGACAACAUUUGGAAACGAAUGCUAAUACCGCAUAAUAACUUUAAACAUAAGUUUUAAGUUUGAAAGAUGCAAUUGCAUCACUCAAAGAUGAUCCCGCGUUGUAUUAGCUAGUUGGUGAGGUAAAGGCUCACCAAGGCGAUGAUACAUAGCCGACCUGAGAGGGUGCUCGGCCACAUUGGGACUGAGACACGGCCCAAACUCCUACGGGAGGCAGCAGUAGGGAAUCUUCGGCAAUGGACGAAAGUCUGACCGAGCAACGCCGCGUGAGUGAAGAAGGUUUUCGGAUCGUAAAACUCUGUUGGUAGAGAAGAACGUUGGUGAGAGUGGAAAGCUCAUCAAGUGACGGUAACUACCCAGAAAGGGACGGCUAACUACGUG